GCCUGUCUCUCCGUGUUCACAGCGGACCUUGAUUUAAAUUUGUACACAAUUAAGGCACGCGGUGAAUGCCAAGAGCCCAGCC
rnacentral:pre_miRNA from 13 species